rnacentral:rRNA from 1 species
GAUGAACGCUGACAGAAUGCUUAACACAUGCAAGUCUUUGGCGAAGCUGUGCUUGCACAGCCUAGCCAAGGCGGACGGGUGAGUAACGCGUAAGGAACUUGCCCUGCAGUCAGGGAUAACAGACGGAAACGACUGAUAAGACCUGGUAAAGUCAGGCGGACUCAUGUCCAGCCUGAUGAAAAGAGAUGCUGCAGGAGAGCCUUGCGUCCUAUUAGCUUGUUGGUGGGGUAACGGCCCACCAAGGCGACGAUAGGUAGCCGGCCUGAGAGGGUGGACGGCCACAAGGGGAUGGAGUUACGGCCUUUACUUCUACGGGAGGCAGCAGUGGGAAAUAUUGGACAAUGGGGCAACCCUGAUCCAGCAAUUCUGUGUGCACGAUGAAGGUUUUCGGAUUGUAAAGUGCUUUCAGCAGGGAAGAAAAAAAUGACGGUACCUGCAGAAGAAGCGACGGCUAAAUACGUG